UGUAGAAACCUGGGGAGUGUUGGUAAUUUGGGGGUAAACAUUGAUUGAAUAGAAUGGUGAAAGUGAAACAGGAGAGAUCUGAGUAAAUGUGUUUCCAGUUUUCAUGCAUACAUUUGGUGCCUGAGACAGCUCCUAUUGUAAAGAAGGGAAACAGCAUGUGUGUGCACAUCACAAUGAUUUUAGUAAAUUCAAAGUGAUGCUAUAUGCUUAAAAAAUCAUGGAAUUAUUAUUUACAAACAGAUGCAGUUUAUUGAAUAUGUAGAAUAUCCAAGGAGGGGAAAGUGACCAGCGAGCAAAGCUGAAGGAAGGUAGUAAAUACAAAGUUUAUGACAUCCAGGUGAAGAAUGGAAAAACGUAAGGUCAAGAGGGAUUGUAGAAGGCCAGGGGCAUAUGUGAUUGGCACAGCCAGGUCAGUGUUAUGAACUUAGUCAUCCAUCCUUAAACAGAUGAGCUAAAAGAACAGAAGUCUAGUGGAAGAGGAAAAUGACAAUACAGAACUCCAAGCCGCAGAGGUAAUGGUAGCUAGAAACUGAUGGAAGCUUGUCUUACAGGACAUAAACAGACAAAGAAGAAAUCAAAGCACUGUUCACCUUGACAGGGGAAGAUAUGAAGAAACCAGGUGUUCUCAGCUGUGAGAAUAGACACAGGACAGAAAAGAAAUGCAGAGAAGUUUUCACCCAAUGUUUUGGCAAAUGAGAUAAAUGAGUAGGAAGAGAUCAGAGUAUCAGCUCCAACUGUGUUAGUGUGUGAACAACACGUGAUAUCUUCUCUUGUCUCUGUCAGCUUUCCACCACAGUAGAAAAACACCCGAGGAAAUCAGCUCAAAGGGUAGAAAUAUUUUGGGGCUCACACUUUCAGAGGGAUUGAUCCAUGAUGGGUGGUCUCUGGUGACUUUGAGUCAGGCAGUGCUUCUUGGCCCAAUAAGGUGGUGGAAGAAACCUACCAACUGGAAACCAAGAAGCAAAGAGAGAGGAGGGGCCAUGAACCCAGUGUCUCCUUCUAGGAUACACUUGCCCUGGCAUCCCUUCUUUUACUCUCAAUGAAUUUUGAUGGCUACACCACAUUUACCAGAAGCAUAGGGAGGGCAACAUGACAGGGUGGAGUCAUAGCCACAGUGAGGAUGCUACAAAUUUUCCUGUGGGAUAAGGUUAUACUAAUGCUACUCAGAUUACAGAGUGGAUCAGAGCAAAUUCUUCAAUCAAUAUGUAGACAGAAAGUAAGACCUGAAGACUGUGUGAUGAGAAGUGGAAGUGAGGUGAGUAAAAGGGGGGUAAGAGGAGAGGAGCCAAACAUCAGCUGGUGUUUGAGGAUCUGGUAUCUGAACAGACAAAAGGAAUAAACUCAGGGAAAAGUCAAAGGUACCACCUUGAGUGUGACUCACUUGGGGUGUCAAGGACCCGUGCUUGAGAUGUGGGGAACACAGAGUAUUUGACGCAACCUAGAGUCAUUUUCACUAGGUUGUUGAUUAAAUGCCACUGAGUCUCAGAAGAGCUGAUCUUAGCAAGAAAUAGUGACUCAUCAUGGCUCAUGUGACUAUUUCCUGAAGUUAGAUUUCCAGAUGACCCAUGUUAAGAUUACCUGGAAUUACUUAGAAGUCUCUGGAGCCAGGCUGCUUGCUAAAUCUGAUGUCAUCCCAAAUUAGACCUGCACAGUUUUAACAUGUUGAAGUGUGAUAAUCUCUGUUAGAUGACGGAUGAGGGAUAUACCACUAGGGACAGGAUGGUGUGACUGCUGGGCAGAUUUUGGAUGGUAUGAAUACUAAGAAAAGAAUUCAGGUCUCUAGGGAGGUUAGGAAGGAACUAUCAGGAAAAAAUCCCCCCCCCAAAAAAACCCAACAAGAAACACGUCAGAGAAACCAAGGUUAGACUGCUUCAGAUUUACAUGUUCCAAAUUAAAGUUUAUAAAAUACUCUGAAUAUUUGCUUCUCCACUCAAUUGUAAGGCCAUGAGAUGUAGCAUGAAUCUUAAAAGUUCUUAUUAAUAAAAUCAAACCUGAGGCCAGUUAUUGGGGUGAACACUGGAAAAUCAGAGAGCCAGAACAAGCCACAGCUAACUCAUCUCAUCGGAUCUUCAGCUGGUCUUGUUUCCUCAGACUGGAGGCUUCUGAGUCCUCAUCCAGAAUGGGUCUCAGCUGAAUUGCUGCUAGAAGCCUGAAAGCUUAACCAGCCAAAUGCUUAACCAGGCCAAAAUACUUCCAGUUUCUGGUCCUCACGCCUUAUAUACCUUUCUGCUUUCUACCACCACUCCCUGGGAUUAAAGACUUGCUUUCUGGGAUUAAAGGCGUGAUGCCUAUCUGUAUCCUUGAACACAUGGAUUUCUGCCUCUGGAAUGCUAGGAUUAAAGGUGUGAGUGCCACCAUUUUCUAGCCUCUGUAUCUAGUGGCUGUCCUGUCUCUGACCCUAGAUAAGUUUAUUAGGGUGCACAAUAUUUUGGGGAACACAAUACCACCACAAUGAGAUUCAGAGAUUGGCUACUUAGCCUCAAGGUUUCAAUGAUGUGGCAUAGGAAACAUGUCUUCUUUGUGUGUUUAUAUUGGCUUUGUUUUUGUUUGUUUGACAAAGGAGCACAAAUGUUUAAGUCUCAGUAUUGAUGUGAUAUUUAUCAUAAAUGAUAGGGGAUAAUUUCAAAUGGAGUUCUUCUGAGGGAGAAGAUACAUUUUAAAUAAAUUUGUGGUAUUUUCUAUUAAAGGUCUGAGAUGAAUGCUAUUUCCUAACUUUAAAUUUUGUUCAUGUGUAUUAUCUAAGCCAUGUGGCUAUUAUAUAUUUAUAUUUAAUUCAACACACAUAUACCUAAUAUGAUAGAUUUUCUCAGCAUUUAAACAUGCUGAAAAUGCCAUGCAUUUCUUCUGAAGUGGAGCUAUCAUUGGCUAAUGAUCAAGGCAAAAUGGAAUCACCUAAUAGGAAUCUGCACUACUCUUUAGCGGUGAUGUAUGCCCAUUCUGAUUUGUUAUGUUAUAAAUACCCACAAUGCAGAGGGUGUAGAAGCCUUUCAGGUAUAUAUGACAGGACUGUGUAUAGCCCAAAGCUCUAUAUUUUAAAAUACUCUUUGUGGGAUUGAAGUUUUAAAGACUAAAAAAGGCAACAGAGAGGAAAGAUGUAGGAUGCUCGGCAUAUUCUUUUCUGACAAUAUGUCACCAUGCCUCUUUUCAGUUUAGACUUUGCUGGUUAGUGCUGUUUUACCCCCUCUAAUUUAAAACUCUCUUACAUCUUUCUGUCACUCAUUGAAAGCUUGAUUUGUAUUUGUCUCCAUACGAUUCUAAUGUAUAAUAAUGAAACAAACAGGAAAAGGUUAUAAAAUUAUUGCAAAGAACAUUCAAGAUAGCACAGGAAAGGCCUCCCUUGUGGGGAAGGAGUAUUCAUGUAAAUGAUCCAGCCCUUAGUAUUUCAUUCAAAAAAUGAUUCUUUCCCCUUCAGGUGGCAAGUCACAUCUGCAUUUAAAUAGAAAAAUGAAUUCCAAUUGAGAUUUCAGCUCGUGGAAUCAACAAGAAAGCAAUCAGAUGUUGACGAUCAGAUCUUACGCAGGCAAUCAUGGCUGCUAUGGAUUCAAGACUUUAAAGAACAUGUCUUCGCUGACGUCGGUGUUCUACACUACUCUCUCCCUCGCUCUGGUUCUGGUGUUCUUUCUGGCCUUGAUUCCAUGAUGUCUUUUUUAUGUUUGCAGAGUUUGCAGUUAUUAACUAUCUGUGCUUCGAA